rnacentral:rRNA from 1 species
CCUACGGGAGGCAGCAGUGGGGAAUAUUGCGCAAUGGGCGAAAGCCUGACGCAGCGACGCCGCGUGAGGGAUGAAGGUCUUCGGAUCGUAAACCUCUGUCAGCAGGGAAGAACGGUCAGUGUGCUAAUUAGCAGUGAACUGAUGGUACCUGCAAAGGAAGCACCGGCUAACUCCGUGACCGCAGCCGCGGUAGUACGGAGGGUGCAAGCGUUAAUCGGAAUUACUGGGCGUAAAGCGCGCGUAGGCGGUAUGUCAAGUCAAGGGUGAAAUCUCCGGGCUUAACGUGGGAACUGCCUUUGAAACUGGCAGGCUGGAGUGUGUGAGAGGUAGGUGGAAUUCCUGGUGUAGGGGUGAAAUCCGUAGAGAUCAGGAGGAACACCGAUGGCGAAGGCGACUAUCUGGCACAUAACUGACGCUGAGGAGCGAAAGCGUGGGUAGCAAACAGGAUUAGAUACCCCAGUAGUC